rnacentral:rRNA from 1 species
GACGAACGCUGGCGGCGUGCCUAAUACAUGCAAGUUGAGCGAUGAAGAUUGGUGCUUGCACCAAUUUGAAGAGCAGCGAACGGGUGAGUAACGCGUGGGGAAUCUGCCUUUGAGCGGGGGACAACAUUUGGAAACGAAUGCUAAUACCGCAUAACAACUUUAAACAUAAGUUUUAAGUUUGAAAGAUGCAAUUGCAUCACUCAAGGAUGAUCCCGCGUUGUAUUAGCUAGUUGGUGAGGUAAAGGCUCACCAAGGCGAUGAUACAUAGCCGACCUGAGAGGGUGAUCGGCCACAUUGGGACUGAGACACGGCCCAAACCCCUACGGGAGGCAGCAGUAGGGAAUCUUCGGCAAUGGACGAAAGUCUGACCGAGCAACGCCGCGUGAGUGAAGAAGGUUGUCGGAUCGUAAAACUCUGUUGGUAGAGAAGAACGUUGGUGAGAGUGGAAAGCUCAUCAAGUGACGGUAACUACCCAGAAAGGGACGGCUAACUACGUG